UACGGGAGGGCAGCAGUGGGGAAUAUUGCACAAUGGGCGCAAGCCUGAUGCAGCCAUGCCGCGUGUAUGAAAAAGGCCUUCGGGUUGUAAAGUACUUUCAGUCGUGAGGAAGGUGUUAAGGUUAAUAACCUUAGCAAUUGACGUUAGCGACAGAAGAAGCACCGGCUAACUCCGUGCCAGCAGCCGCGGUAAUACGGAGGGUGCGAGCGUUAAUCGGAAUUACUGGGCGUAAAGGGCACGCAGGCGGUUAAUUAAGUUGGAUGUGAAAUCCCCGGGCUUAACCUGGGAAUGGCAUUCAAGACUGGUUAGCUAGAGUCUUGUAGAGGGGGUAGAAUUCCAUGUGUAGCGGUGAAAUGCGUAGAGAUGUGGAGGAAUACCGGUGGCGAAGGCGGCCCCUGGACAAAGACUGACGCUCAUGUGCGAAAGCGUGGGGAGCAAACAGGGAUUAGAUACC
rnacentral:rRNA from 1 species